ensembl:lncRNA
GUAAACUGUCUUAGACCUUGAUUUAUCUUUGUGUAAUUAGUUUAACCACAAGGGGAUUUUGAACUUUAGUUCCUACCCUUGUUGGGUAAGGGCCAUUUUGGGGUGAACACACACUGAAGCAGAUGCAACAUUUUGAGCUCAACAAUGGCUGACAAAGUUCUGAUCACAUCUGUGGAUGUUGGUAACAGGGCACGACAAAAGGAAGGGACACAGUGCCAGUGUUCUGGGCCCUGGAGGGCAUUUACUAGCAAAAAGCUGAAGAUACUAAAUUGAACUGAUGAAUAAAACAUGGGCAGGGACCAGCAUCGCACUCUUCAGUCUUCCACUCUCUGCUGCCCUGAAGCUGCUUACUUAAGGGCCCUUUUAGCUCCCACUGCAGAGGCCGGACAGGGGGCAGGUGUGCUUCACUGUUGUCUGUGUCUGAGGACUUUUUUGAUUCUACAAAAGUACAAAUAUUUGGGUAUGGCAGUUGCACAAGCACUGUCAAUGCGACGUAGGGGACCAGUGUUCGAUCCACGGACAUGAACACAGACAAAACAUAUUUGACAUUAGGAUUUGGCUAUUCAACUGGAAUUUUGAAAUAAACCAUGGAGUGAUUCGAGCCAUUGUUUUCAUUGUAGGUACUGUACAGUAUAGCUGGACUAAAACCUGUCUGAAUGACUACUGCCCUACAGCACUGACCUCCAUCAUCAUGAACUGCUUUGAGCGGCUGGUCACAUCUGCUCCACCCUUCCUGACACCUUGGACCCCUUUCAAUUUGUAUAUUGCCUCAAUAGAUCUACGGACGAUGCCAUUGCCCUGACGACACACAACGCCCUCUCCCAUCUGGAAAAAGGCAGCACAUACGUGAGGAUGUUGUUUGUGGAAUACAGCUCUACAUUCAACACUACUGUGCCCACCAAGCCUGUUCCUAAACUCAGGACCCUGGGACUUAACACCUCCCUUUGCAAUUGGAUCCAGACCCCAGGUGAGGACAUGAGGUAUUGGACCACGCCUCAGGAGUACCAGGCUUGAAAGACUCAUAGCUGUCCCUGUCCAAUGUCCUCCUGAUUGUCAUGCAGAUCAUGACAAUACCAGAUGAUUAAAGCAGCCACUCUGCUGACCAUUCCUCCCCCCUGAUUGUCCCUGUCUUUGUCCAUCUGGUCAUGCUUCUGACUUGGAUUAUGUUUUAUGGACUCUGGACAUAGCCCAC